rnacentral:rRNA from 1 species
GACGGUGGUUAUAGCGGUGGGGUAACGCCCGGUCCCAUUCCGAACCCGGAAGCUAAGCCUGCUAGCGCCGAUGGUACUGCACUUGUGAGGGUGUGGGAGAGUAGGACACUGCCGUCA